ACCUGGAGAAAUACUUGAGAAUAAAUGUGUGCAACUGACAACUACAGGUCACGAAAAGAGACACUAGCACGAAUAUUUUCGAAAAUAUUCAUCUUGUAUCAAUCAAAUUUAAUAGACAAGAUUUUUUUAUUGAAUAAUUAUUCUACAGUUACAUAAGUCAAACUUGUGCAUUCAAAUUAGGAAUUAAUAAUCUCUAAAAACAUCGAUACUCAACGUUUUUUUAUUUUAUUUUUUUUUUAUAACGUAAAAACAGUAAAUGUGUCGAUUUGCAUUAUUCCGAUGUUGCAGACAAAUCCGACUGCAGCAACCAGUCAACUGGUGCAAUGUCGCGCAACGUAAGGAUUGUGCGCGAGGUAGUCGUUGAUCGAAGCUGAGACUCAUUCGCAGAAAGUGAGCGAGUGACGGCAGGAAGAGAGAAUAAUUUCGCAUUCCGACGGGGGAAGGGCGACACCACGCCUUCUAUCCAUUAUUUGAUUACAUCGCACGUCGCGCUCUCGACAUCCGUUAAUUACUUCCAACGCUAAAAAUUAGACACUGACAAUCCGUUAAUAUUCGAUCGGAUCGUACCUCAUUUGCUCAACGAUCAACGUUCUCUGCUAUUUUGUCCUUGCGUUACACUGUAUAAAAAAAAAUAAAAAUAAAUGAAAUUCGCACGACUUUGAUGCCGAAUUACUCGGGACAGAGUAUAAAAAAAAUAA